CUGUACACUGUUUUAACCGGGUUUAACAGUUGCUGAGGAUAGUAUUUCAGUGACACAUUUGUGGCGUUUGUCUUCAGUUUACACACAGGUAACGUUAGGUGUUCACUCAGACGCAAAUAGCUAACAUUCAUUAGCACAGAUAACGUUAGUCCACUGUCUUCUGUUUGUAAACAAGCGCUGUAAUAUGGAUAUGGGCUUGUGGAAACCCUAUAAAAUGGAAAAUGCCAUGACAUUUGGCGACGGGGAUGGGAAGUGAAUCAUCACUCGGUGACCGCUCCUGAAGAUCUGGGCAAAUCGUGCACGAGGGAUCCCUCAAACUUGGGAUCUCAGGGAAACCACACUUCGGGAACGAAGCAGAUGGACCCACCUUUGAUCUGAGAGGCAGCGAGCUGAGUGGAUACCACAUCUCAAACUUAUUUUUUUAAAGAAAGAGGUCUAACAUCCUGAUCCCUUGGCUAUACGAUGGAGUUGACAGUGUGAUGGGGAGUAUAAGCUAAUUUGAAAGAAUAGUUUCAAUAGAAUGUGUUGUUAUUCUUUUUGAAAUAUGUUUAGACAUUUGUAUUAAGAAUAAUUGGUAAAAGUAAUAAUUUAUCAUGUAGUUAAUGAACUGAACUAAACUGUUGUGCUGAUCUGUUCUUUCGAGGUUAUCAGGAAAAGUGACAUCAGACGGUAUCUUAAUGCAUGGAAGAGAUAAUUGAACUGAACAGUGUGUAUACCUCAAAUCCCCCUCUAACUGGAUGAAGAAGAGUGACAAAGGCGUUGAAUAAGGCCCUGUCCGAACCACUUCUACCGAGAGAAGGGAGCCGAGCCAGAAAUCGGUGUACAGUAUCCGAUCUAAGCUAUCAACUGCUUUUCUUUCAUGUUUCUCUCAGGAGUGUGAGAGGAGUCCACGUGGAGUGAGCAUGGAGAGAAAUCUGUUCUAAACUUCUCUUAUGUUGCUGGUAUAUUGGUUGACGAAUGGACAAGACAUAAUGGGUGGUAAAGGUGAGACAUUGAAAUUGGGACAUUAUCAUGGGACAUCCACUUUGAACUGUAAAGCUAUCUGAAGAAGAACGAAAAGGACGCCAGAAGAAUCAGUGCCUGAAGGAGGAGGGUGGUCAACUGUACCAAAAAAUUGUUUUAGACUUUUGUGGUUUCAGGUUGAUUGUAGAGGUCUACACCACAUAAAAUUAUAGUAAUUUAGAUUAAGAAUGCAUUGAGAUACUGAUCUGUAUUAUAAUAGUCAUAAAAAAGUUAAUUGUAGAAUUAUGGGAUAAUUAUACUGGAUGUUAUUAUAUAUGUACAUUCUGCCAAUGUCAAUGUGUUAAAUUGAUUUUUUUUUUUUACUUUGAGUGAUAGGACCAAUUUGAAUCACUGAGCAAUGUCAUUCUACAUUUUGGUUGGAUAAUUAACUGGAUUCUAAUUAUGAUUUUAUUUGGAAAUUGAAUGAUUUUUAAAACUGAAGGAUUGUUUUGGUUGUUGUUAUGAACUAAAGAUGUUGAAGCUAUUAUAAGCAUGUCAUGGUGAAUGGAGGGGGUGAACUCUGAUUUGGAGAAUGAAAAUGAUCCUAAUCUAUUUGAUCUAUAGGCAUUGCCUUAUAAAUAGUGGAAUCAUGAUGCUUGUCUUGGGUCAUGUUCAUUAGGCACCAAGGGGAUACAUUUUACUUUAACUAGGAGUCAUUACCUGGAUUUGUUCAACAAUAUAAGCACAUUUUUGUUUCUGGAAUGGAAAUAGUCAUUUCCAACAUACUAUGCUGAUCCAUUGGAGUGUGAUAGAUUAAUAAAAUAAUCUAAAGUUAACUUCAUUGUUGCAUGCACUGCAUUAUGCAUUAAACGUGCUUUUCACUGUCUAUGGAAAAUAUAGCUUUGAAUCUCAUAAACUGUAUGUAUUUUUUGUUUUUCUUUGUGGGUUCGUGCAUGUGACUGUGUAUCUUAACCUUCCCAGAAGCAUGCUAGAGUGCUUAGAAAAUGUGUUGGGGAUUGAAAUAAGAGACAGUGCUGAGUUUCUUGGAAUGAAGCUGGUGUCGUGGCAAUUUCCUGUAUUACCAAAUGAUGAGAGAGUAAACCACACACCAGUCAGAGUUAUACUUAAACUUCACCUUUAAUAAUCAUUAAGCUUUUGCAGUAGCAUUUGACUUUCAACAUUUCAGUAUCUCUAAUGAAAGUUGAGAGUGCCUAACAUAAUGGCAACUGAGAUAUUUUAUAGCAAAGAUCCACCCCCUAGUCGACAUGACAAACCACAGAUAUUAGGAACUGCUUCACAAAGAAAGACUUUUACUUUAGAGAGGAGUAUCCCAUACAGAGACAGCAUUCGCUAUAAAUUAUCGUUCAGUUUGAUCUCCUAAACAAGGUUCUAAUCUCAUCCUUGAUACUUCAUUGUCUAUGAAAACAUUACCUCAUCCAAUGGCAUAUAUCAAUUGUCAAUCCUAGAUACUCCCAAACCUGGACAAACUCAAAAUCAGACAGUGAGCCUCUUAAGUCAAAUACUAGGUCAAGAUAAGGGCAACCUCAGAGGGGAAAUACAAUGGUUCCAGACACAGCCAUACUCUUUCCCUCAAUGAGAAAAGUAGGGAGUGACUGGCAUACAGACAUUGUAUGAGAUAGCGACAAUGGUUCCCCAUUAAUAACACCAUCCCUUCACAUGGUUUAGGAAUAGUUACAUUGACAUAUGAAGACAAGCCUGACCUCUCCCCUCUCUGCGCCCCAAUGUGACUAAUCCCUAGCAGAGAAGUGAUAACUGCAACUACCAACCCUAUAGACAAAGGGAAUGAUUUUAAUGACAAGUAUCUCACAAGCAUAUGAUGAAAAUAAAAUAUCUUAUCUAUGUUACCCAACUCAUUCUGAUUCAUCCCCAACACUGGUCAUGUGCAGGAACCCCAUGCAAUGAGUUAUUAUUUUGUGAUUUUUGGUUUAUGUAGAAUAUAUGUAUUUUCUAUGUAAAUGGUUAUUCUCUUAAAUCUUGUAAUUUUCUUUUAAGUUGAGAAUAUUCUCAAAAUGGGGGAGAUGUCAUGGAAAAUUGCAAGAUGAUGUUAUAAUGCUUGUAAAAUGAUAUUAUAAUGCUUGUAUUACAUUAUAAUAGUUGUUACAUUCAACAGAAUAGAGUAUUGUAUGUGUUCCACUGAGGAUGGGCCUCAAUGAGAUAGCACUGACAGAGGAGAUUUACGAUGUCUUUGGGUAAUGAAGCCUAAAGAGCAUUCCAGAUAGUAAAGGUAAUGUUUUCGUGCUAUACCGUACCAGGGUGAGACGGGUUCCAGUUUGGAGUAGGAGGGGGCCAGAGACUGGUCUUUACAAUGAGAACUGUUGACACAGCAGUAACUGUCUGCUAUGUUUUAUAGAAUUCUUUCAUACAAAUCUUAACCUUGUGAACUGUUCCUAAGAUCUGUAGUUUGUCAUGUAAGUUGAGAGGGGUGUAUCUUGACUAUAAAAGAUCUUUGUAUUUUUCUGUAGUCACUCUCAAUGGUUCAUUAUAGAUAGGCUAAAGCUUAAAGCUUAUUAAAGAUGUAG